GACGAACGCUGGCGGCGUGCUUAACACAUGCAAGUCGAACGCUGAAGCUUGGUGCUUGCACUGGGUGGAUGAGUGGCACACGGGUGAGUAAUACGUGAGUAACCUGCCCUUGACUCUGGGAUAAGCCUGGGAAACUGGGUCUAAUACUGGAUACGACAUGUCACCGCAUGGUGGUGUGUGGAAAGGGUUUUACUGGUUUUGGAUGGGCUCACGGCCUAUCAGCUUGUUGGUGGGGUAAUGGCUCACCAAGGCGACGACGGGUAGCCGGCCUGAGAGGGUGACCGGCCACACUGGGACUGAGACACGGCCCAGACUCCUACGGGAGGCAGCAGUGGGGAAUAUUGCACAAUGGGCGGAAGCCUGAUGCAGCGACGCCGCGUGAGGGAUGACGGCCUUCGGGUUGUAAACCUCUUUCAGCACGGAAGAAGCGAAAGUGACGGUACGUGCAGAAGAAGCGCCGGCUAACUACGUG
rnacentral:rRNA from 1 species